ensembl:lncRNA
CUUCUGGGACACACCCAAAGGGAGAACUCUGUCUCCAGAAAGAAUGAAGGGAUCAAGUCACCAUCAGGGAGAGAGCAGAGAGCUUUGUUGGGCUCCCUGGCCUUCCUGGCUCUCAGUUUUUGUCACAGCCAGUAGUGACACUGACACAGACCCACCUUUCCCUCCUGAGCCAGGCAGCUGGAUUCUCUCAUAUUUUUCUCUGCUUUAUCCUCAAGGAUUCUCUACAAUAUUCACAAGCAGGAAUAUCCAGUCUUCAUUCAGAUCUAUUUCCUCACUGGUCCUGAUCCAGACCCCGGUCAAAGGCAACCCAGGACGGU